rnacentral:rRNA from 1 species
GGACUACUCGGGUAUCUAAUCCUGUUCGCUCCCCACGCUUUCGCUCCUCAGCGUCAGUACAGGCCCAGAGAACCGCCUUCGCCACCGGUGUUCCUCCCGAUAUCUGCGCAUUUCACCGCUACACCGGGAAUUCCAUUCUCCCCUGCCUGCCUCUAGUUUGCCCGUAUCCACUGCAGGCUCGGGGUUAAGCCCCGAGGUUUCACAGCAGACGCAACAAACCGCCUACGAGCUCUUUACGCCCAAUAAUUCCGGACAACGCUUGCGCCCUACGUGUUACCGCGGCGGCUGGCAC